CUCAUCUCCUAUGAACCAAUCCCCUACUUAGACCAUCAAAGUGGACUAAAACAAGAAAGGAGAGAAGCAUUAUAGACUCUGAGCUGUAAGGGACCUUUAAGGCUAUGUACUCCAACUCCCUUAUGUUCAAGACAGUGGACAGCCUCAGAACCAAGCCCUGAAGAUGGAUGGGGCAGCUUUCUGAAAGUCGUGGAGACUUCAGCUACCUAUCGUGAAGCGAGUCCAGGGAAAUCCACCUGUCCAGCAGAAACACCUUAAUGGAGUUCUGAUUUUUAUACCGAUUUCCCCUGGUUCUUGUGUUUAUUUGUGGGAGGGUGCACCCUAGGUUCAUGUGGGGAAUGCUUUGUUGCAGCUGUGUCUACUGUGCAAUCACAAUAAAUGCCUUUGCUAAGA